rnacentral:rRNA from 1 species
AACGAACGCUGGCGGCGUGCCUAACACAUGCAAGUCGUGCGAGAAAGUUCCUUCGGGAACGAGUACAGCGGCGCACGGGUGAGUAACACGUAGGUAAUCUGCCCUCGAGCCUGGAAUAACCUACCGAAAGGUGGGCUAAUACCGGAUAUGACCACGGGAGCUUCGGCUUCUGCGGUGAAAGGUGGCUUCUACCUGUAAGCUACCACUCCAGGAUGAGCCUGCGUACCAUUAGCUAGUUGGUGAGGUAACGGCUCACCAAGGCUGUGAUGGUUAGCUGGUCUGAGAGGAUGGCCGGCCACACUGGGACUGAAACACGGCCCAGACUCCUACGGGAGGCAGCAGUGGGGGAUAUUGCGCAAUGGGCGAAAGCCUGACGCAGCGACGCCGCGUGGGUGAUGAAGGCCUUCGGGUCGUAAAGCCCUGUCGAGGGGGAAGAAUCGGUUGCGACCUAACACGUCGUGAUCCUGACGGUACCCCUAAAGGAAGCACCGGCUAACUCCGUGCCAGCAGCCGCAGUAAAAC